AAAAAAAUAGUUGUCUGCAUGUUGACGCCGUCUUGGUCCGGUUUGUGGCACUGAACUAACUGACUAAACAUUACAUCGGGACGGAAAUUGGUGCUGGACAUAUCACGAAAAAAUAUCCGCGAGGAGCUGCUGUGACUGUUGUGCCCUAACCUUAGGUCUCCUUGAUGACAUCCGAUAUGGAGGUGACCGUUUAAAAUUUACACCGCGGAGUUUCUGGUUUGAUGCCAUUACGAUGGAUUGGUGCACAGGCUCUUGUCAAUGAUAUCUAAAACAUUCAAGAUGCACUCCGUGAAGAUCCCGUCCUACACCGUACGUAUUAUCGUACACGUUUCAUUGGUGAAUGUCCCUUUUCACAACAUGGAAUUGAUUUGGCACCACAU